AACGUAGGACACAGGCGUUAUCCGGAGUUACUGGGCGUAAAGGGCGUGCAGGCGGUUUCUUAAGUCAGGCGUGAAACCAUUCGGCUAAACCGGGUGUAGUCGUCUGAGACUGGGAGACUAGAGUGUGGUAGAGGCGUGUAGAAUUCCGGGUGUAGUGGUGAAAUGCGUAGAUAUCCGGAGGAAUACCAGUGGCGAAGGCGGCACGCUGGGCCAUUACUGACGCUAAGACGCGAAAGCAUGGGUAGCGAACGGG
rnacentral:rRNA from 1 species